CCUACGGGAGGCAGCAGUGAGGAAUAUUGCGCAAUGGGCGAAAGCCUGACGCAGCGACGCCGCGUGGGGGAUGAAGGUCUUCGGAUUGUAAACCCCUUUCGGGAGGGAAGAUGGGACGAGCAAUCGUUCGGACGGUACCUCCAGAAGCAGCCACGGCUAACUUCGUGCCAGCAGCCGCGGUAAUACGAAGGUGGCAAGCGUUGUUCGGAUUUACUGGGCGUAAAGGGAGCGUAGGCGGUUUGGUAAGCCCUCCGGGAAAUCUUCGGGCUUAACCCGGAAAGGUCGGAGGGGACUGCCUGGCUAGAGGACGGGAGAGGAGCGCGGAAUUCCCGGUGUAGCGGUGAAAUGCGUAGAGAUCGGGAGGAAGGCCGGUGGCGAAGGCGGCGCUCUGGAACGUUCCUGACGCUGAGGCUCGAAAGCGUGGGGAGCAAACAGGAUUAGAUACCCUAGUAGUC
rnacentral:rRNA from 1 species